AUUGAACGCUGGCGGCAUGCUUUACACAUGCAAGUCGAACGGCAGCAUGGGUGCUUGCACCUGAUGGCGAGUGGCGAACGGGUGAGUAAUACAUCGGAACGUACCAAGUAAUGGGGGAUAACUACUCGAAAGAGUGGCUAAUACCGCAUACGCCCUAAGGGGGAAAGCAGGGGAUCUUCGGACCUUGCGUUAUUUGAGCGGCCGAUGUCUGAUUAGCUAGUUGGUGGGGUAAGAGCCUACCAAGGCGACGAUCAGUAGCGGGUCUGAGAGGAUGAUCCGCCACACUGGGACUGAGACACGGCCCAGACUCCUACGGGAGGCAGCAGUGGGGGAUUUUGGACAAUGGGCGAAAGCCUGAUCCAGCGACGCCGCGUGGAGGACGAAGCCCUUCGGGGUGUAAACUCCUUUUCUCAGGGAAAAAGGAUGAUGGUACCUGAGGAAUAAGCCCCGGCUAACUACGUG
rnacentral:rRNA from 1 species